rnacentral:rRNA from 1 species
AUUGACCUCGGAUCAGGUAGGGAUACCCCGCUGA